UCGGAAGGACGACCUUCCGUAUGCCUUCUCUCCCGGGGACGACCCCG
rnacentral:ncRNA from 1 species